rnacentral:rRNA from 1 species
ACGGAAGGCAGCAGUGGGGAAUAUUGGACAAUGGGGGAAACCCUGAUCCAGCGACGCCGCGUGAGUGAAGAAGUAUUUCGGUAUGUAAAGCUCUAUCAGCAAGGAAGAAAAUGACGGUACUUGACUAAGAAGCCCCGGCUAACUACGUGCCAGCAGCCGCGGUAAUACGUAGGGGGCAAGCGUUAUCCGGAUUUACUGGGUGUAAAGGGAGCGUAGACGGCAUAGCAAGUCUGAAGUGAAAUGCAUGGGCUCAACCCAUGAACUGCUUUGGAAACUGUUAAGCUAGAGUGCAGGAGAGGUAAGUGGAAUUCCUAGUGUAGCGGUGAAAUGCGUAGAUAUUAGGAGGAACACCAGUGGCGAAGGCGGCUUACCGGACUGUAACUGACGUUGAGGCUCGAAAGCGUGGGGAGCAAACAGGAUUAGAUACCCUGGUA